ACUUUCGGGGAUGGAGGGGAAGCCCAGGUACUCUCUGUGCUUCCUAACUGGCCGUGGAAGGGGAGGUGGAGACGGGAAGCGGCAGUCGGUUUCACUGCAGCGUCUGGGAUUCCUGCCCCGAGUUCUUCCUCAGAAACCGGCGGCGGCUGCGGACAGGGGCGGCUGGGCUGAGGGGCGGGAAGCCGCUGGCCAGCUUCACCCUCUCUCUGGGGCUCCUGCAGGGCAAGGGGAGCGGAUGUGAAGUUGUCCCUGUAGAUAUAAUUAACAGCAUUGUGGACAAGACCACAAGUUCAGAAGGAGCUUACAAAGGAGAAAUUCAUGCUGCAAAUGGUGACACUUAAGCCAAAAGCAAUAAAAUGCAUUCAUCUGGGACACUGUCGCCCUGGGGUUUAUGGCUUCCACAGGACAAUCCAAGUCUGGGCUUCAGACCUCGUCAUUCUGCCACACUGUGACCCCGAGGCAGGGCGCGCCAUAAACAGACCGGGAGGCUGCUCUGUGUGCCCUCGCUGCGGGCUGGCUGCUCUGGGAAGAACACGCAGCCCUCAACAGGGAAAUGCGAUAACUAUUCUGCUUCUUGGAAUGAUUUGCAGAUUCAUGCAUUCAAACAUUCUUCAGAUGCUGACUGGUGGUAUAUGUCACCACGUUCCCGGUGGGAUGCGACCUGGUGGUGGAAAACAGACAGCUCACUUAAACGCCAGUUCGGCCACUUACUAACCGUGUGACCUUGGGAAACUUACUUAACUUCUCUGAGCCGAAGUUUACUCACAGAUGUAAAGUAGGGGAGGUCAAGAAUGUGCUGGAACACCAUAAAGAUGGACUGAAACCUGUGACCAUUCUUGUUGCCUCUGGUAUUUGUGUCCUGAAGAAGCUGGACCCUUUGUCACGGAGCUGAACACACACACCUGGCCCAGGAGCUGGUGUCGCUGAAGGAGGAUCCAGGAGAAGGUGGGACAGCUGCAGGCCUGGCCCCGGCCCCAAGCCAACAAGAGAAACAUGGUCGAAAUACCCUACAGACCAGAAGCCAGCACCUCAGCAGUCAUCUUGAUUCUUCUCUCUCUCUCCCCCGACAUCCCAGCCAUUAACAAGGCCUACAGGUGCCACCUCUGUAUCGCAUCUCAAGCCCGCUUGCGGCUCCUUCUCCGCGUCCACAGCACCACGUUGGUCCAAACUCCAUCCGCUCCUCCUGCAUCAUUGUGAUGGCUUCCCAAUGGCUCCAGGUAGCCUUCCUCUGGUGACAUGUUCUUGGAUUAUGACAUAUUCUUGGCUGCCUUCUUGGAACAAGGAAUUCCUGUCAUGGGAGUCCCACCUCGAUGUUUUAGAAAUCGGAAUGCAAACUCCCAGGCCCCUCUGUGGACAUGUGACCCAGAACGCACGCACUGGCCACCCCCCAUGUAGCGAGCCUCCAGGUCUCUGAGAGGUGACAUUGGCGCUGGGGCAGCAGCAUCGUGGCAGGCUGCACUGCUGGCCUCUGGUGCUCAGCAGCAGCACUGGCCCUGGGGGUUUAAGCAUCGGGCCCCUUGGCAGGCACCGUUCUGAAGACUGCCCUUGGAAGCUUCAUUUCAAGUCUGGUUCUCUUCAGUCCUCCUAGUAACUUUGGAGUGACCUCAUAUCAUUUGAUAAAUAAGUCUCUUUUCAGCUUAAAGCAGCCAGAGUGGAUGCUGUUGUUUUCCCUCAGAACUGACUAACACACCUCUCUUCAGUCUGUUCUCCAGUCAGCAGUCAAAAUCAGCUAUUAAAAACUGAAAUCGAGUCGCACCGCUCGCCUCCUGGGAAGGCCGCCUACCACAGGGAUCUUGCUGGACUCUCCCCCCUCCUCCCAUCUCACGCUGCCUCUCGCUCUCUCCGCUCCAGUCCCGCUCGCUCUCACACAGCAGGUUCUUCCCCAGCGCCACACUCUGCACCAACCCUUCCCUCCGCCUGGCGGGUUUUCCCAUCAGCCCUUCCCGUACUUGACCCCUGGAUGGCACCUUCAAUGCCACCUCUUCAAAAAGGCAUGCUUGGACCACCCGGGAGCCAAAGAGCAUGCCUCCCUCAUUACGCUCCAUCUUCCCACACUUUAUUUCCUUCAGACGAUGCACCCACGCUGCUUGUUUACUUGUUUAUUGCUGUAUUGUGUUAUUGUUUCCUGUAUUACUUGUCGUCUUGUUUAGUGACCAUCUCCUGCACUAGAGUAUAGACUCUCUGAGGGCAGAGAUGGUGUUUUCUCAUAAACACAGGGUCCCCAGACCUAAUACAACCCCUGCUCCAUUGUAAGAAGUCCACCGAUCUUAGUUGAAUGAAUGAAUUACCAUGACUGUUAGCAUUUAUC
ensembl:lncRNA